UUAGACCUGGGACACCAGGUGGGUGAUUCCCCUCUGAGUCACUGAUUUAGACCUGGGACACCAGGUGGGUGAUUCCCCUCUGAGUCACUGAUUUAGACCUGGGACACCAGGUGGGUGAUUCCCCUCUGAGUCACUGAUUUAGACCUGGGUCACCAGGUGGGUGAUUCCCCUCUAAUCAGGGACUGAUUUAGACCUGGGACACCAGGGGGGUGAUUCCCCUCUAAUCAGGUUCUGAUUUAGACCUGGGACACCAGGGGGGUGAUUCCCCUCUGAGUCACUGAUUUAGACCUGGGUCACCAGGUGGGUGAUUCCCCUCUAAUCAGGGACUGAUUUAGACCUGGGACACCAGGUGGGUGAUUCCCCUCUAAUCAGGGACUGAUUUAGACCUGGGACACCAGGUGGGUGAUUCCCCUCUAAUCAGGGACUGAUUUAGACCUGGGACACCAGGUGGGUGAUUCCCCUCUAAUCAGGGACUGAUUUAGACCUGGGACACCAGGUGGGUGAUUCCCCUCUAAUCAGGGACUGAUUUAGACCUGGGACACCAGGUGGGUGAUUCCCCUCUAAUCAGGGACUGAUUUAGACCUGGGACACCAGGUGGGUGAUUCCCCUCUGAGUCACUGAUUUAGACCUGGGACACCAGGUGGGUGAUUCCCCUCUAAUCAGGUUCUGAUUUAGACCUGGGACACCAGGUGGGUGAUUCCCCUCUGAGUCACUGAUUUAGACCUGGGACACCAGGUGGGUGAUUCCCCUCUGAGUCACUGAUUUAGACCUGGGACACCAGGUGGGUGAUUCCCCUCUAAUCAGGGCCUGAUUUAGACCUGGGACACCAGGUGGGUGAUUCCCCUCUUAUCAGGUUCUGAUUUAGACCUGGGACACCAGGUGGGUGAUUCCCCUCUAAUCAGGGACUGAUUUAGACCUGGGACACCAGGGGGGUGAUUCCCCUCUGAGUCACUGAUUUAGA